GACAGAGGUGCCGAGCGUUAGGCGGAAUCACUGGGCUUAAAGCGUGUGUAGGCGGACUUCUAAGUACCUUGUGAAAUCCCACGGCUCAACCGUGGAACUGCUCGGGUAUACUGGUUUGUCUUGAGCCACUUAGGGGCAGUCGGAACAGACGGUGGAGCGGUGAAAUGCGUAGAUAUCGUCUGGAACGCCAAAGGUGAAAACAGACUGCUGGGAGUGUGCUGACGCUGGAGAACACGGAAAGCCAGGGGAGCGAACGGG
rnacentral:rRNA from 1 species